GAAGAUCAAGAGUAGAUUAUGCUUAAAAGUGCAGGCAUGAGACGGCGGAAGGGUGAUGACAAUGGGGAGAUCCGCUAGAUGUGACAAAUGCUGGCCACAUUUUUUAGUCCUUGUCCUUCGUAUGAACCCUGUGUCUUGAUACCAUUGGUUUUAUUUAACUACCUGGCGCAAUGUUUUAGUAAUAAGGAAGAAAAUCGAUGGUUUUGGGGUUGGAUACUGUGUAAGUGUAACUCAUCUAGGGUUGGCCAGAAACCACCAAGAGUCGCAUUUCGUUGGUUUUAUAAGGCCAAUCACUUGCAUUUGUGUUUAUUGAG
rnacentral:lncRNA from 1 species